rnacentral:lncRNA from 1 species
CUUCUCGUUCUUAGACUUCCCGGCUGAGUCGUUCAUAGAUAAGGAUAUUCAUUCAUUCACUUAACAUUUACUGAGGUCCCACUAUGUACCAAGAACCUGGGCAAGGUACAACACAUUCAAUUAUUGAUGCCAGUGUUUUGUUAAACAGAGUCUUUUCUUUGUUUUGAAAAAAAAUCCCUCAACUACUGUAGAGUUAUUCUGCUCAGACAGCACAGGUUAGUCCUGAGUUUCACUUAGGUCACAGAGGAAAAAAAUGUGUAUAAUCACAUAACGAAACACAAAACAUCCAAAACCUUUGGGCUACCAACUCUGCCUGCCUGUUCUUCCAAAUGACAUCAUAAUCAAAGGUCUCUACCUAUUAAUGAAUCUGGGACAAAGUCAUAAUGCCAGAAUAUCUCUGGGACACAUUCUGCCUGUGUUUUGGCACAUGGACAGGAAUACUAACAUUUGAAACAAUCAAGAUGGACAAAGCAGAGAGUCCUAGAUUGCAGCUCUGCCCUGGAUUCAAAAACAGUUUCUCCAUUGGAAAAUCUGAUGUGCUAUUUGCUAAAUAAUUAAAGAAUAUAGGUUAUCACCCAGAGAAAACAGUCUGUCCAUGUUGGGAGUUUAAAAGGCUCUUAUGUUUUAGCAGGUAUUCUAAAUUAUACAUGAUACUGGAAGCGAGAAAUAUCACCAGUCAUAUGAAAGAACACAAAAUCCAAAUACUCAAGUAUGUUAAUUGUGGGAGAGACUAUGUCAGUUGCCUACCUCAAAAUCCAAUUUUCCAUUGCAAUGAGAGCCAGCCUGGCCUGCUUCACAAUGUCAGCACCACCAUGAGAAGCAGAGCACCAAGAAGGAAAACCAGCUCUAUAUUGUUCAUCUCUAGAAUUCUCACAUAUAAGCAAAAAAUAAACUUUUUUAUAAUCUAGGCUGCUGUUCUUUGAGGUUCUUUUGUUGUACAUAUUUAUAGUGUUAGUCACUUCAGUCAUAUCCAACUCUUUGCAACCUCAUGAACUGUAGCUUGCCGGGCUCCUGUGUCCAUGGGAUUUCCCAGGCAAGAAUACUGGAGUGAGUAGCCAUUCCCUUCUCCAGGAGACUUUCUCAACUCAGGAAUCAAACUAGG